rnacentral:rRNA from 1 species
UACGAAGGGGGCUAGCGUUGCUCGGAAUUACUGGGCGUAAAGGGCGCGUAGGCGGAUACUUAAGUCGGGGGUGAAAGCCCGGGGCUCAACCUCGGAAUUGCCUUCGAUACUGGGUAUCUAGAGUAUGGGAGAGGUGUGUGGAACUCCGAGUGUAGAGGUGAAAUUCGUAGAUAUUCGGAAGAACACCAGUGGCGAAGGCGACACACUGGCCCAUUACUGACGCUGAGGCGCGAAAGCGUGGAGAGCAAACAGG